rnacentral:tRNA from 2 species
GGGGGGAUGGCGUAACGGGCAGCCGCAGCUGACUUAAAAUCAGCCGCCCUUUGCGGGCGUGGGGGUUCGAGUCCCCCUCCCCCUACCC